CGGUGUUCCAACGAGUAUAGACGGGAAUGUGUCUGGCUAUUUUGUUUUUCAUUUUAUGCUCUGGUGGAACGGUAAAGAAUUGGUCAAGCCGGUUUGCGCGGAUGGGUAUGAAUUGAGGAAGCAUUUUUUAUUAUACUUGCUAAAACAUCGUGGGAAUGAAGCUAGAGGAAACUUUCCUGAUAUUGUCAAAGAAUUUCUUAA